GGAGGCUAAGAGAAUAGCUAUUCCAGUGUUGCAGUAGAAUUUAUUCCCAUUCGGACUCCCUGACUUUGUGUUUAAAUAGGAGGAAAUCAAAGCUAAAUUCAAGUAUCUCCCAAAAUUGUAGAGAUUUCUUCAGAUAUCUCCAUUAAUGAAGGGAACAAUAUCAGCCUCACCUGCAUAGCAACUGGUAGACCAGAGCCUACGGUUACUUGGAGACACAUCUCCCCCAAAGCGGUUGGCUUUGUGAGUGAAGACGAAUACUUGGAAAUUCAGGGCAUCACCCGGGAGCAGUCAGGGGACUACGAGUGCAGUGCCUCCAAUGACGUGGCCGCGCCCGUGGUACGGAGAGUAAAGGUCACCGUGAACUAUCCACCAUACAUUUCAGAAGCCAAGGGUACAGGUGUCCCCGUGGGACAAAAGGGGACACUGCAGUGUGAAGCCUCAGCAGUCCCCUCAGCAGAAUUCCAGUGGUACAAGGAUGACAAAAGAGCUGAAAUCUCAUUCACAGUCUGGUUAUGAUGGGAAAGCUUCCGCUCCAUGGUGGAGGAAUGGUGUCAACAUGGCCAGUGGGAUCAAUCAGCCUGACUUGCUCACAGAAUCCUCCUAACUGAUUGAAGGAAAGAAAGGGGUGAAAGUGGAAAACAGACCUUUCCUCUCAAAACUCAUCUUCUUCAAUGUCUCUGAACAUGACUAUGGGAACUACACUUGCAUGGCCUCCAACAAACUGGGCCACACCAAUGCCAGCAUCAUGCUAUUUGGUCCAGGCGCCGUCAGCGAGGUGAGCAACGGCACGUUGAGGAGGGCAGGCUGCGUCUGGCUGCUGCCUCUUCUGGUCUUGCACCUGCUCCUCAAAUUUUGAUGUGAGUGCCACUUCCCCACCCGGGAAAGGCUGCCGCCACCACCACCACCAACACAACAGCAAUGGCAACACCGACAGCAACCAAUCAGAUAUAUACAAAUGAAAUUAGAAGAAACACAGCCUCAUGGGACAGAAAUUUGAGGGAGGGGAACAAAGAAUACUUUGGGGGGAAAAAAGUUUCAAAAAAGAAAUUGAAAAUUGCCUUGCAGAUAUUUAGGUAAAAUGGAGUUUUCUUUCUUUUCCCAAACGGGAAGAACACAGCACACCCGGCUUGGACCCACUGCAAGCUGCAUCGUGCAACCUCUCUGGUGCCAGUGUGGGCAAGGGCUCAGCCGCUCUGCCCACAGAGUGCCGCCACGUGGAAAACAUUCUGGAGCUGGCCAUCCCAAAUUCAAUCAGUCCAUAGAGACGAACAGAGUGAGACCUUCCAGCCCAAGCGUGGCGCUGCGGGCACUUUGGUAGACUGUGCCACCGCGGUGUGUGUUGUGAAACGUGAAAUAAAAAGACAGAGCAAGAAAGAAAAAGGAAACAAAAUAAGACUGUCUGACAGCAACAACAGUCCCACAAACAACAGUCACAAAAGAUACCGUUAAACUUUUUUUUUUUUUAUCAUUUUACUACAUGAACAUCAUGGAUAACAAGGGAUUCUGAUUCAUUAUUAAUUUCAUUAAUUAUAUUUUCUGAUAUGAGUCUAGAACUUACUGCAAAAACAAGACAAAACUAAAAAAAUACAACUGAGAAGGGUGAAGAGAAGUAUGUUUGUUAAACAGUAAAAAUGAAUAGUAUACUUCUUAACUAGGUUUACAACUGGUGGACCACACACCAGGCACUAAUCACCUGGUGAGGAUUUGGCAUAUCCACCAAAAAAUACAUCCGAUUUAACCAACAUCUCCACCAGCGCUACAGACUCCUCCCGAUUCUGGCAUCUCAUGCAGACAAUACUAUGCUCUCUACACACUGUUUAGAAAUGGAAAGGUGAUCUGCACUGUAUCUUGGGUUUGUUGGCUAUGCUUCUUUUGAUGACAUAUAUUAUACAGUAUAUAUAUACAUAUAUUUUUUUUGUUAGAGUUCUAGCCAUUUUAUUUCUCCGCAGGGUCCUUUCUCAGACAUUACUGCAUGCUGUAUAUGGCGUUAGCUGUGUGUUGAUCUUCUAAAAGAUGAUAGAGUUUACUGGUAAUUGUGUAAUCAGCUCCUGCCUUUUUAUUUUCUUGGGUUAUUUACAUGUCAGAGACAUUUAUAAAAAGUGAAAAGAUAAAAAAAAAAAACAAAAAACUGACUAAUACCAGGCGCAGCAUCUUUCCAGGUGUGGCUCUGCGCGUAGGCCACCCCAGGUGGCCCCGCUUUCUCCAUCCUGCCCUGUGGCAUUAACAGACAGCAAGCAGCUGAACAAGCAGAACCGUCAGUACCCACUUGCUUUAGCCCAUUAUGGGAAUCUCUGAUGCCUUUGUGACCACUGGAGAGUUUAAUCCUCUUGGUUUAUUUUAUUUAAUUUCCCACCUUUGUGUGAGUGUGUAUGAAAGAGAAGAAAAUGCAAUUUUUAGGUAAUCUUUUUUUUCCCCUCCCCUGAAAGUCUGGGAACCAGAGAGUCCUUGGGGAGGGGUCCUGGAUGUGAUGAGGGAAAGGGGGAUUGGGGGAUCCGGGAGGGUGGGGUUGUCUCUGACUUGACAUUAAAAA
rnacentral:sRNA from 1 species